rnacentral:ncRNA from 1 species
UCUUAUCCAGAGUGGCGGAGGGAUUCACACCCGACGAUGCCCGGCAACCUCUAUGUAUAUAGAAAGGUGCUAAUGUGAGCAGAAAAUUUCUGGACGAUAAG